AGUGAACGCUGGCGGCAGGCCUAACACAUGCAAGUCGAGCGGCAGCGCGUCCUUCGGGAUGCCGGCGAGCGGCGGACGGGUGAGGAAUGCGUCGGAAUCUGCCUUUUUGUGGGGGAUAACGUAGGGAAACUUACGCUAAUACCGCAUACGACCUACGGGUGAAAGUGGGGGACCGCAAGGCCUCACGCAGAAAGAUGAGCCGACGUCGGAUUAGCUAGUUGGCGGGGUAAAGGCCCACCAAGGCGACGAUCCGUAGCUGGUCUGAGAGGAUGAUCAGCCACACUGGAACUGAGACACGGUCCAGACUCCUACGGGAGGCAGCAGUGGGGAAUAUUGGACAAUGGGCGCAAGCCUGAUCCAGCCAUGCCGCGUGUGUGAAGAAGGCCUUCGGGUUGUAAAGCACUUUUGUCCGGAAAGAAAUCCUGUCGGCUAAUACCCGGCGGGGAUGACGGUACCGGAAGAAUAAGCACCGGCUAACUUCGUG
rnacentral:rRNA from 1 species